rnacentral:rRNA from 1 species
AAGAGGGUGACUUAGCGGCGGACGGGUGAGUAACGCGUGGGCAACCUGCCUUACACAGGGGGAUAACAAUUAGAAAUGAUUGCUAAUACCGCAUAAGACCCCGGUACCGCAUGGUACAGGGGUAAAAACUGAGGUGGUGUAAGAUGGGCCCGCGUCUGAUUAGGUAGUUGGUGGGGUAGAAGCCUACCAAGCCGACGAUCAGUAGCCGACCUGAGAGGGCGACCCGGCCACAUUGGGACUGAGACACGGCCCAAACUCCUACGGGAGGCAGCAG